CGCGGAACUGCCAGGGCGAACGCGGGGCCCAGGCUCAUCCCCACUUGGCUUGGGGCCUGCAGGAGGCGAAGGGGUGGGACUCUCGGACUCUGGCUUGGGUGGGGCCAGGGACGCUGUCCCCUGAAGGACAAAUCAUGACAUCCUCCAGAUUAUGUGGCUGCAGAAGGACCGGGAGUAGUUGUGGCAAGUUGAGGUUUAAUAACUUACGCAAGGUGGUUCUGGACUGUUUUCUACAUCGAUGAAAAUUUUCCAACUACUGCUGACCACAUAUGCAAUUAACAAUAUCAUUCUUUGCUGGUCUUGUAAUCAGCCUCCAGGCAAGACCUCAGUGGCACAGAAGCUGAGCAGGCACCUAAAAUACUGAAGGAAGAGACGUUCCUUUAUUACCAAAGGAGCUGUGAUUCAAAGAACUAGAGAUGAAGAUACUUUGCUUUUUAUUCCUUCUUUGUCCUCUUCCUACUAAGCCUCAGCUACAGUAUCAAUUGUGGAAAGUGGAAAAAUAGGGGCACUAAAGGCCUGGCUUUCUGAUUAGAAGACCAUGAAAUGGGGACCCAGAGGACCAGAAAGUAUUGAAGAGACCACAGAGAGAAGGGAACUCUAGCAAGAUAUUGCAUAAAAUGGUGUGUGAACUACUCACCUCAUGCUAUGAGGAUCAUCCUUAUGCUAUGCAUGUGUGAAUCUGGUACACAACCAGCAUCCCAAAGGCUUUGAGAACUACGGUCAAAACCUCUUCUCAGGUCCAAGACUGGCCACUGAGUUAGUUGUGCAAGAGAUUUUCACUGGAACCACAGCCCACAGAAGGUGGGAUGGAAACUGUAGCCUGAACCUAAGUAGGUCGAUUGCCUAGUAAAACAAAACUAAACAAAAAUUUGACUAUUAUCAUAGGAUUUAAAUAAGACCCAGAGUCUCAUAACCUAAUAUUCAAAAUGUCCAUGAUACAAUCCAAAUGAAGAAUCAGGCAUAUGAAGAACCAGGAAAAUAUCAGCUCACAAGCAAUAAAAACGAUCAACAGAUGUCAAUGCUGAGAGGACACAUAUCUUCGAAUUAUCAGACAAAGUCUUUAAAGCAGCUAUUAUAACUCUGCCCCCAAGGAGUAAGGCUGAACACUUAAAACAAAUGGGAAGAUAGAAAUUCUCAGCAAAGAAAGAUAAGAUGUAAAAAAGACUAAUAGAAAAUUUUAGAACUGAAAAAUACAAUAACCAAAAUAAAAGUGACACAGGAAAGAGUCAGUGACCUUGAAGAUAAAUCAUUAAAAAUUAUCCAAUCUGAAUGACAAACAGUAAAAAGAUAAAAAUAAAUAAACAGAGCCUCAGGGACUGGUGGGACAAUAUCAGAACAUCUAGCAUUUGUCAAUGGAGUCAAAGAAGGAGAGGAGAAAGAAUGUGAUGCAGAAAACAAAUAUUCGAACGGCUGAAAAUUCCCAACAUUUGUUGAAAGGUCUAAAUAUACAAACUUGAAUAACUCAGCAAGUUCUAAAGAGGAUAAGCUCAAAAGAAUCCAUGCCCAGACACAUGAUAAUGAAACUAAAGACCAAACAAACAUAGCUAAAAACAGCCAGAGAGAAAUGAUGCAUAACAUAUAGGUGUUUGAUGAUUCUAAUAACUAUGGAUUUCUCAUCAGCAUCCAUGUUGAUGGGAAGGAAAUGGAACAUUUUUAAAGUGCUGAAAGUAAAGAACUGUCAUCCUAGAAUUCUGUGUCCACUGAAAAUAUAUUUUAAGAGUAAAGGUGAAACAAAGAUGUUCUCAGAUUAAGGAAAACAAAAAGAAUUUACUUCCAGUAGACCGGCCAGAAGAAAAAUGAUACUAGAGAGAAACUUGAAACACCAGGAACAAAGAAAACAGAAAUGGUAAAUAUCUGGAUAAAUAUAUUAAACUAUUUUUUCUUAAAUUCUUUAAAAUAUGUAUAAUGGGGCUUCCCUGGUGGCGCAGUUGUUGGGAGUCCGCCUGCCGAUGCAGGGGACACGGGUUCAUGUCCCGGUCCGGGAAGAUCCCACAUGCCACGGAGCGGCUGGGCCCGUGAACCAUGGCUGCUGAGCCUGUGUGUCCGGAGCCUGUGCUCCGCAACUGUAGAGGCCACAACAGUGAGAAGCCAGCGUACUGCAAAAAAAAAUAUAUAUAUAUAUGUAUGAUGGUUGAAAGCAAAAAUUAACAUGGUCAGAUAAGCUUUUCUAUAUAUGUAAAUGUAAUAUAUAUGAAAACUGCAACAUAAAGAGGAAGGUGAAAAGGUCCUACCUAUAUGGUGGUAAGGUUUCUAUAUUCCACUUGAAGUGAUAAAUAUUAAUUAUAAAUAGAAUGCAAAAAGUUAAGUAUCUAUAUUGUAAUCUCUAAGGAAAUCACUGGAAAAAAUGUCUACAAAUAGAUAUAAUAGAAAACUCAAUCAAUAAGUUUAAAAAUGGAAAUUAAAACAUGAAACAAUCCAAAACUACCAGGAAAGGAGAGAGAGACAGAGGAGGGAAAAUAGAAAAAAUAAGAAGAAAACAAAUACUAAAAUGCUUUACCUAAAUUCUAACAUUUCGAAGCACAUGUCAAUAAUUACAUUAUAUGUAAAUGGUUUAAACACACCAACUAAAAAGACAGAUUGCUGGGUGAAUGGAGCCAUUUUCAAAAGGUUACAUGCUGUAUAAUUCCAUUUAUAUGACAUUCUAGAAAAGACAAAACUACAGUGAUGGAAAACAGAUCAGUGGUUGCAAGGGGUAGGCAUGGGGGGAGGGUGUGACUAUAAAGGAAUAGCAACAGAGUUUUGGGAGUGAUGACUCUGUUCUAUAUCUAAAUUGUGGUGGUGGUUACAUAAAACUAUACAUGUGUUAAUAUCCAUAGAAUUAUUUACCAAAAGAAGGUCAGUUUUACUAUAUGCAAAUUAAAAAAACAAAAUUAAAAAUAAUAUCUAUAUACUUAAUCUUUGCUGUAUGCCAGGCACUGUCCUUUAAAACAUAAUUUUGUAUAAUCUUUAGAACAAUGUUAUGAACUAGAUAGAUUCUUCUCUAUUUCACAAGUGAUGAAAAUUAAUAAUUGAAUGCCUUACUAAAGUUCAGUAAAUGACUCACUGAAGAGUAAACAAUUAGAAGUUCACACCAGAAUAUAACCAAAAUCUUUCUGAUUCAAAAAUCUUAUUCUCUGUUUGAUGAUGCUUAUUUACUCAGAAGCAGUGGUCCACAUCUAAAAUUGGGAAAAAAAAUGUUAUUAUCACACAUAUUAGAAA